GCGGGAGUAGCUCAGUCGGUAGAGCGACAGCCUUCCAAGCUGUAUGUCGCGGGUUCGAAUCCCGUCUCCCGCUCCA
rnacentral:tRNA from 1 species